rnacentral:lncRNA from 1 species
GUUUCAUUUAAAGACUCCUUCAAAACAUGGGAAGAAAUCCCCUCUGAGAAGUCAUCAUGCUUAGUUCAUUUGUCACCAUAUUCUUCUCAUCAUUCUACCUGACAUCUUGAAAGAUUUCUUCUGGCCAUCUCCACUUCACAGUAUACAAAGGUCAUAGCAAGUCGUGUGUUUAAAAGCUUCUGCUUUAUGCAACCCAAGAAGUGCAGCACAGGCAAGAAGCACAUCCCCAUCACUGUAAUUUUUUAUCUUCUAAGGUAAGUAAAAUUCUCUCCUAUGAAUUCUUGUCCAUUGCAGCUAUGGAAUGCCCAAAUGUUUAUUU